rnacentral:rRNA from 1 species
AUUGAACGCUGGCGGCAGGCCUAAUACAUGCAAGUCGAACGAGUGGCGGACGGGUGAGUAAUGCCUGGGAAACUGCCUUAUGGAGGGGGAUAACUACGGGAAACUGUAGCUAAUACCGCAUACCAUCGGAUGUGCCCAAGUGGGAUUAGGUAGUUGGUGGGGUAACGGCUCACCAAGGCGACGAUCCCUAGCUGGUCUGAGAGGAUGACCAGCCACACUGGGACUGAGACACGGCCCAGACUCCUACGGGAGGCAGCAGUGGGGAAUAUUGCGCAAUGGGCGCAAGCCUGAUGCAGCCAUGCCGCGUGAAUGAAGAAGGCCUUCGGGUUGUAAAGUACUUUCGGUAGCGAGGCGUUAACCACAGAAGAAGCACCGGCUAACUCCGUGCCAGCAGCCGCGGUAAUAC